GAAAUGCGAUAAGUAGUGUGAAUUGCAGAUUUCAGUGAAUCAUCGAAUCUUUGAACGCACAUUGCGCCCUUCGGUAUUCCGUUGGGCAUGCCUGUUCGAGCGUCUUUGAAAAAUUCAAGCCUUGCUUGGUGUUGGGCGCCUGUUCCCGCCGAAGCGCGUGGACUCGCCUUAAAUCCAUUGGCAGCCGGCGAGUUGGCUCCGUGCGCAGCACAUUGCGCAGCGGCCCCAGCGUGUCUGCUCCCCAUAAAGUCUUACUCGUUUGACCUCGGAUCAGGUAGGGAUACCCGCUGAACUUAA
rnacentral:misc_RNA from 1 species